GUGUUGUAUGAAAGGAGAGAAGAUUAGUACUCCCCUGGACAAGGAUAUAUACAACUGAAAUCUGUGU
rnacentral:ncRNA from 1 species